rnacentral:rRNA from 1 species
GUUACAGCAGCCGCGGUAAUACGUAGGGUGCGAGCGUUAAUCGGAAUUACUGGGCGUAAAGCGUGCGCAGGCGGUUCGCUAAGACCGAUGUGAAAUCCCCGGGCUCAACCUGGGAACUGCAUUGGUGACUGGCGGACUAGAGUAUGGCAGAGGGGGGUGGAAUUCCACGUGUAGCAGUGAAAUGCGUAGAGAUGUGGAGGAACACCGAUGGCGAAGGCAGCCCCCUGGGCCAAUACUGACGCUCAUGCACGAAAGCGUGGGGAGCAAACAGGAUUAGAUACCCGCGUAGUCC